GAUAGAAGCUGUCAUUCUUAUUAACAGCCUAUCAUUUGGUCGUGAACAGUUUUAAGGACUAAUCGAUAAAUCCUCUCUUUAUCGAAUCUAAAUAGUCCUAAGGACUUCAUCAUAACAAUGGAGUUCAUUAGAAGAUGAAUGCUUAUGAUGAAAAUGCCAAAUAUAUUUUAUUUAUUAACAAAUCAAUUACAAUACUUGGUUGCUCAACCGUCAACAGCUUGACGAUUGGCUUUUGGGACAUAUUUUUCAACAACUCCCACUUGUCCUAAAGCCACUCGGCACAGUAUCUAAUACCCAUCUUCAACUUGUGGUUGUCGAACUCCUUUAUUGCCAGGGCUUUAGUGA
rnacentral:lncRNA from 1 species